CAUAAUCUUCUUCAAAGGCUGAUCUGUGUAUACUACUACCAAUCUACCCUGGAAGUAUUUCCUAAGCUUUCGACUAGCAGUUAUUAAAGCAAAAGCAAACUUUUCAAUGUUUGGGUACCUUGUUUCAGCAUCCCGAAGGACAUGGCUUACAUAAUAAACCGGGUGCUGCUUACCCCCAACUUCACGCACCAAAACUGCUCCUACCGCCAACGAACUAGCUGCUAAGUACAAAUAUAGAGGCUCAGCAGGAGCGGGCUUCACCAACAAAGGCGCCGAAGAUAAGUAGGACUUGAUGCUCUGAAAGGCGUCCUCACACUCCGAAGUCCAUUGGAACGUCUUUGCAUUCU
rnacentral:lncRNA from 1 species